CUUCACCCUACAGGAGAGAAAGGCCACAGGGAGAAAUGUCACCGCCGUGUCACAGCCCGCGCGCACGCACUCGCACACUCGGGGCUGUGGCUGCAGGGGCAGGGCGAGAUAACACGAAAGAAAAGCAAAAGAAAAAAGAAAAAAAAAAAAAAAAACAAGCGCCUCGGUGCAAACUGCCAGAUCCAAACCGCACAGUGCGGCGCAGGAGGGGGCCCGUGUGGGGUCUCAGAGUUCCCACGCGAAGUGCCCCCGGCGCUCUCCAGGACCGCCUAGGUGCGUUUCUACAAUCGCCGGCGGAUUCGGCAGCACCCGGCGAAUCCUGGAGCCCCACAGUGAUGGCCAGGUGGAUGCGCGCUAAGGUGACCACUGUGACAGCAAAAAGGUGUUCUGCUCUCUGCAACAAUUUGACUGUUUGAAACCCGUGCUGAGUGCAGUCCUGAAGUCAGCCAAACCUGCUUGCAGGGAAUAGCAAUCGUGAAAAAGUAACAAAGAUGUUGAAAGAAUCUACAGUCUCCAUUUUCCUCAAAUUCAACAGCAGAUACAUUCUGCAGACUGCAAAAUACAAGUAAAGGCUGCCCCAGCGGGCAGAGGGUACAGAAGAAGCUGCAUUGAGGAUGCUGGACAGAAGGCAGAAGUCUUUGGACAAACAAAGAGUGGUUUAUUCAUGUAAUUAAAUACUAUUCAGCACUAAAAAUGAACCAUGACAACCUGCAAGAAAUAGCAUGAACGAGUCUCAGAAGCAUUACCGUUGAGCAAAAGAAGCUGGGCACAGAAGAGUUUCUACUGGAAUGAUUUCUAAAGGAGUAAAUUCUCCAAAAACUAGGAAACCUAAUCUAUGGAGGAGAAUCUGGAACUGCCCAAGUGGGAGACACUGGGUAAGUUAUGACAAGGGCACAAGAACACUUUCUAGGGUGACACAAAUGCUCCAAACGAUGCUGCAGGUGCAGUUUGCCCAGAUGAACAAUAUCGCCAGGACGCAAAAAUUUGAACAUGGUAAGAUCUGUGCAUUUUACUGCAUGUAGAUUGUGUCUCCAUUUUUAAUAAAUGAUGAUUAUCAUUAUUCUCUUUACAAUAUUUAUGCCAGCAAUAAUAAUGUUGUUUUCAAGACAUGCUGACAGACUACCUUGCUUUGUGAUAAUUGCCUUAUUGUUUUAUAACUGUUUGUAACUUUAUAAAGUCUUCAUGAAUGUGAUUCACUGCAAUAAUAAAGUUGUGAAACACUUCAAAUGACAAGUGGCAGGCUGGGGAAAAUAUUUGCGACUCAUCUCUCAGACAAAGGGCUAAUCACCUUUGCACAGAUGAUUUCUUAAAAACUCAUUCUAAAAACUUCAUAAAUUACCAAAGUAAAGACAACUUUGCUCUGGGAGUGGAGUGGUUUCAUCACAAAUGGGAGUAGAUAAUUUUCCUGCUUCUGCUUUCAAGUUUGUGCCUUACAAAAGAAUGGGAAAGGGGAGAGAGGGAGCAAAGGAGGGAAGAGGAAUACAAGUGUAACCACACCUCUGCUAAAAGAAAACACUGUACAGAAACAUGCCAACAUAGCAGUAACAUGAGGGGAAAUUAGGGGACUUUUUUUCUGAUGGAUUAUCUCUGUUCUCUAGUAUGAACAUACAUUACUUUCUGCUCACUUAUAGGAAAUGCUAUGAUGCAAAUUAGGACUAUUUCUGGUGAACCUAUUAUACUUACAAAUACUUUAAAUAAUUUUCAUGGAGUUCAAUUUAUGAGUCAAAUUUUAUUCCUUAACAGGCAAUGC